CCAGUUGACCGGGUGGCCGCUGGCAGUGGGGUAACCCUCUGCCAGAGGAAAGUCCGGGCUCCAUCGGAACACGGUGACGGCUAACAGCCGCCGGGGGCGACCCCAGGGAAAGUGCCACAGAAAGCAAACCGCCGAUCUUCGGAUCGGUAAGGGUGAAAGGGUGCGGUAAGAGCGCACCGGGCGCCUGGCAACAGGGGCCGCACGGUAAACCCCACCGGGAGCAAGACCAAAUAGGGAUGACGCGGGGAAACCCAGCCUGUUUCGAGGCCAUGUCGUCCGGGUUGGUUGCACGAGUGCCCUGGUAACAGGGGCCACAGAUGAAUGGUCACCACGUCGCGCAAGCGGCCCUACAGAACCCGGCUUAUAGGUCAACUGGCUCU
rnacentral:RNase_P_RNA from 1 species